GAUGAACGCUGGCGGCGUGCUUAACACAUGCAAGUCGAACGAAGCACUUUAACUUGAUUUCUUCGGAUUGAUUGUUAUUGUGACUGAGUGGCGGACGGGUGAGUAACGCGUGGGUAACCUGCCUCAUACAGGGGGAUAACAGUUGGAAACGACUGCUAAUACCGCAUAAGCGCACGGUAUCGCAUGAUACAGUGUGAAAAACUCCGGUGGUAUGAGAUGGACCCGCGUCUGAUUAGCUAGUUGGCGGAGUAACGGCCCACCAAGGCAACGAUCAGUAGCCGACCUGAGAGGGUGACCGGCCACAUUGGGACUGAGACACGGCCCAAACUCCUACGGGAGGCAGCAGUGGGGAAUAUUGCACAAUGGGCGAAAGCCUGAUGCAGCGACGCCGCGUGAACGAUGAAGUAUUUCGGUAUGUAAAGUUCUAUCAGCAGGGAAGAAGAAUGACGGUACCUGACUAAGAAGCACCGGCUAAAUACGUGCCAGCCGCCGCCGUAA
rnacentral:rRNA from 1 species